GAUUCUUCAGAUCAGCUCACGCUAUCUAUCGGAUCGUUUUAGAAACAUUCAGGGGCCAACAGUUUCAGGAUUGUUGAGCUCCAUUGGCGGGAUUUCGCCGUCUUCGUUUCUCUUUCUUCGCGGACGAACACGCGCCAGGGGCUGAGCGCUGUGCGGUGCACCGACUAAGCGUCGCGUGCGCGCCGGCAUGUCUCUCGUGUUAGGGGCUUGUAGCUCAGUUGGUUAGAGCGCGCGCUUGAUAAGCGUGAGGUCGGAAGUUCAAGUCUUCCCAGGCCCACCAUUUUGAUCGAGUGCGGAGCAUUCGUCUUCUGGUACGGGGCCAUAGCUCAGCUGGGAGAGCGCGUGCUUUGCAAGCAUGAGGUCGUCGGUUCGAUCCCGUCUGGCUCCACCAGAUGGUUUGAUCACCAACGGCGUUACCGUCGUCCGCGAAACAUCACUUCGCACUCAUUGGUCCGGAUGGACGGUGACGUGCGUGUUUUCUGACAUCGUAAAGAGGAGAUCGAUCCGAGUUUGGAUCAAGCGAAGCAAUUCGUCUGAACCAUUCAUUAUCUCCGGGAUCAUUUCGGCGCUCGCGCAUCGCAGUUCAUCGCAAGAUGAGUGGGGUGAGCGGGUUGUAAAUGAUCUCUUUUAGCGAAGCUUGACCGCCUCGCUAUCGGGCCGAUCUUACGAAGCAAGCUGGUCUUUCUAGUCAAUGUCCGGCUGCGCAAUCGCAUUCAUCGAGGAUGCGUGCCUGGGACUUCGGUCUUCGGGCAGUUGCGCAGACAACAUUCUGCCGAGUGUGUGGACAUUGAUAAUGAGAGCAAUCAAGUGCCUUAAGGGUGUUCGGUGGAUGCCUUGGCGCUGAGAGGCGAUGAAGGACGUGCUACGCUGCGAUAAGCCGUGGGGAGCUGCGAAGAAGCUUUGAUCCGCGGAUU
rnacentral:misc_RNA from 1 species